rnacentral:rRNA from 1 species
UCCUACGGGGGGCAGCAGUGGGGAAUAUUGCACAAUGGAGGGAACUCUGAUGCAGCGACGCCGCGUGAGUGAAGAAGUAAUUCGUUAUGUAAAGCUCUAUCAGCAGGGAAGAAAAUGACGGUACCUGACUAAGAAGCCCCGGCUAACUACGUGCCAGCAGCCGCGGUAAUACGUAGGGGGCAAGCGUUAUCCGGAUUUACUGGGUGUAAAGGGAGCGUAGACGGCGCGGCAAGUCUGAAGUGAAAGGCAGGGGCUUAACCCCUGAACUGCUUUGGAAACUGCCAUGCUAGAGUGCUGGAGAGGUA